GACGAACGCUGGCGGCGUGCCUAAUACAUGCAAGUCGAACGCAGUGGGGACGGGUGAGUAACACGUGGGUAACCUCCCAUCAGAGGGGAUAACACUUGGAAACAGGUGCUAAACCGAUACUGAUGGAUGGACCCGCGGUGCAUUAGCUAGUUGGUGAGGUAACGGCUCACCAAGGCCACGAUGCAUAGGCGGCCUGAGAGGGGGGUCGGCCACACUGGGACUGAUAAACGGCCCAGCAUCCUAAGGGAGGCAAGAGGAGGGAAUCUUCGGCCAUGGACGAAAGUUUGACCGAGCAACGCCGGGGGAGUGAAGAAGGGUUUCGGAUUGGAAAACUCUUUUGUUAGAGAAGCGGUAUCUAACCAGAAAGCCACGGCUAACUACGUGCCAGCAGCCGCGGUAAUAC
rnacentral:rRNA from 1 species